UGCAGGGUGGCAUAGUGGGUAGAGCAGGUGCUUCAUAUGCAGAAGCUACAGUCCUUGCUGCAGUCAGCCCUGGUUCAAAUCCCGCACCGUGCGG